rnacentral:rRNA from 1 species
AACGAACGCUGGCGGCAUGCCUAACACAUGCAAGUCGAACGAGACCUUCGGGUCUAGUGGCGCACGGGUGCGUAACGCGUGGGAACCUGCCCUUAGGUUCGGAAUAACUCCCCGAAAGGGGUGCUAACACCGGAUAAUGUCUUCGGACCAAAGAUUUAUCGCCUUUGGAUGGGCCCGCGUUGGAUUAGCUAGUUGGUAGGGUAAAAGCCUACCAAGGCGACGAUCCAUAGCUGGUCUGAGAGGAUGAUCAGCCACACUGGGACUGAGACACGGCCCAGACUCCUACGCGAGGCAGCAGUGGGGAAUAUAGAACAAUGGGCCAAAGCCUGACACAGCCAUGCCGCGGGAGUGAUGAGGGCCUUAGGGUUGUAAAGCUCUUUUACCCGGGAUGAUAAUGACAGUACCGGGAGAAUAAGCACCGGCUAACUCCGUG